rnacentral:rRNA from 1 species
UACGUAGGGUGCGAGCGUUAAUCGGAAUUACUGGGCGUAAAGUGUGCGCAGGCGGCCGCGCAAGUCGAGUGUGAAAGCCCCGGGCUUAACCUGGGAACUGCGUUUGAAACUGGGAGACUCGAGUGUGGCAGGAGGGGGGUGGAAUUCCGACGUGUAGCAGUGAAAUGCGUAGAUAUGUGGAGGAACACCGAUGGCGAAGGCAGCCCCCCUGGGUCAACACUGACGCCUCAUGCACGAAAGCGUGGGGAGCAAACAGG